CUCGUAGGCGGCUCAGUAAGUCGAUCGUGAAAUACCGGGGCUCAACCCCGGGAGGUCGGUCGAUACUGCUGUGGCUUGAGUCCGGUAGAGGAAGGUGGAAUUCCCGGUGUAGCGGUGGAAUGCGCAGAUAUCGGGAGGAACACCAGUAGCGAAGGCGGCCUUCUGGGCCGGCACUGACGCUGAGGAGCGAAAGCGUGGGUAGCAAACAGGAUUAGAUACCCUGGUAGUCC
rnacentral:rRNA from 1 species